rnacentral:rRNA from 1 species
UAAGAAGGGUGCAAGCGUUGUUCGGAAUUACUGGGCGUAAAGCGCGCGUAGGAGGACUUUUAAGUCAGGGGUGAAAUCCCAGGGCUCAACCCCGGAACUGACUUUGAUACUGGGAAUCUGGAGUCCGGGAGAGGUGAGCGGAAUACCGAGUGUAGAGGUGAAAUCCGCAGAUAUUCGGUGGAACACCAGUGGCGAAGGCGGCUCACUGUACCGGCACUGACGAUGAGGCGCGAAAGAGUGGGGAGCAAACAGG